rnacentral:sRNA from 1 species
CAACGGCACCUGAUCAAGCCGUUGUCUGGCAUCCCGGCCUGUCCCCCGCCGCGCCAGACAAGGACAAAGGCCUCAUCCCCCUCUCCGGGCCUUUGUCCAUCAUUCGAAGAAGCCGCCGCGACAAGCCUCCUGUCGUCGGCGGCUUCUC